rnacentral:lncRNA from 1 species
CGACACUUUCUGCAACUUUAAUUCAUUCACACUCACAUACUCCCUUCUUUUGCAACUCAACUUUUAGGCUGUCUUGUCUCCCAACACUGCACUAUAACUUAAAGAAAUAUCCUUAGUAAAAACUCCUCCUAAGCAAAAACAAACUCCUCCUCAUCCUUGCUGGAACGAUUCUGAUCCUUUAAACACCAGAAGUAAUCAGCCAAGGCAGGUAGAACCAGCAAAACAGCCGAUCAACUCCUCAAGGUUUUAUUUUAAAUCCCUUGUAUUGUUAAUACCAUCAAAGUAUGUUCUUACCCUUCACAGCACCAAAUCAUUUCAGAUUUUCAGCAACAUAAAAACCUAUGAGAUUCUGUUAAAGAUUAUACCUUUAAUUCAUUUGCAUAAAUUUUCUUCGAGUAUUAUUAAAGACAAGCAAGGAAAUUCCAUAUAGCAUUUUCAGAUUAUGCACAUAAGAGAG